rnacentral:RNase_P_RNA from 1 species
UUGGACAAACGCUGGUAGCUAUCUACUUGAGGAAAGUCCUUGCUCACUCAAUCUGGAAUGAUUGGUAAUGUUUGUGCUAGGGGAAAAAAUAACCCUAGGUAUAGUAUAACUAUAACGGCUUCGAAAUGACCUAACCAUGGUCAAAUUAGAUAUGAAAGUGCCAAAGAGACGAGUUCUUCUGGAAACGGAAGAAGUGGAACGUGGUAAACCCCACAAGUGAGAAACCCAAAUUUUGGUAGGGGAGCUUCAAAUAGGAAUUAAUAACGAUUUUGAGGUUUAGAUUUAAUCUAAAAGAUAAAUGUUUGUCACCGCUUGCGGUACAGAACAAGGCUUAUAA